rnacentral:piRNA from 1 species
UUUGUAGACGGGUGGGGAGUUCCCAG